UACGUAGGGUGCGAGCGUUAAUCGGAAUUACUGGGCGUAAAGCGUGCGCAGGCGGUUUUGUAAGCCAGAUGUGAAAUCCCCGAGCUCAACUCGGGAACUGCGUCCGAUACUGGCAGGCUUGAAUCCGGGAGAGGGAUGCGGAAUUCCAGGUGUAGCGGUGAAAUUCGUAGAUAUCGGGAGGAACACCAGUGGCGAAGGCGGUCGUCUGGGCAGAUACUGACGCUGAGGUGCGAAAGCGUGGGGAGCAAACAGG
rnacentral:rRNA from 1 species